GGAAGUAAAAGUCUUAACAAGGUAUCCGUAGGUGAACCUGCGGAAGGAUCAUUAUUGUAUAACCGAGGUGCGAGGGCUGUCGCUGACCCGAAAGGUCGUGCACGCCCGAGUGCCCUCACACACAUCCAUCUCACCCCUAUGUGCACCACCGCGUGGGUCCCCCUUUGGCUUGUUCGGAGGGGGGCUUACGUUUUCACACAAACUUUGUAUGCAGUGUAGAAUGUAUUUUUUGUUUUUGCGAUCACGCAAUCAAUACAACUUACAACAACGGAUCUCUUGGCUCUC
rnacentral:misc_RNA from 1 species